UACGUAGGGGGCAAGCGUUGUCCGGAUUUAUUGGGCGUAAAGAGCGUGUAGGCGGCUUGGAAGGUCAGCUGUGAAAACUCGAGGCUCAACCUCGAGACGUCGGUUGAAACCACCUGGCUAGAGUCCGGAAGAGGAGAGUGGAAUUCCCGGUCGUAGCGGUGAAAUGCGCAGAUAUCGGGGAGGAACACCUGUGGCGAAGGCGGCCCCCUGGUUGGAUACUGACGCUGAUACGCGAAAGCGUGGGGAGCGAACAGG
rnacentral:rRNA from 1 species